rnacentral:misc_RNA from 1 species
GGAAGUGAAAGUCGUAACAAGGUUUCCGUAGGUGAACCUGCGGAAGGAUCAUUCAUAAUAAGUGUUUUAUGGCACUUUUUUAAAUCCAUAUCCACCUUGUGUGCAAUGUCAGGGUUGAUUUUACUCUCGAGAGGAUCAGCCCCAAACAUCAACUAUAUCUCAACUCUUUGUCUGAAAAAUAUUAUGAAUAAAACAAUUCAAAAUACAACUUUCAACAACGGAUCUCUUGGCUCUC